rnacentral:rRNA from 1 species
UACGAAGGGGGCUAGCGUUGCUCGGAAUCACUGGGCGUAAAGGGUGCGUAGGCGGGUCUUUAAGUCAGGGGUGAAAUCCUGGAGCUCAACUCCAGAACUGCCUUUGAUACUGAGGAUCUUGAGUCCGGGAGAGGUGAGUGGAACUCCGAGUGUAGAGGUGAAAUUCGUAGAUAUUCGGAAGAACACCAGUGGCGAAGGCGGCUCACUGGCCCGGUACUGACGCUGAGGUGCGAAAGCGUAGGGAGCAAACAGG